GAUGAACGCUGGCGGCGUGCCUAAUACAUGCAAGUCGAGCGAACAGACGAGGAGCUUGCUCCUCUGACGUUAACGGCGGACGGGUGAGUAACACGUGGAUAACCUACCUAUAAGACUGGGAUAACUUCGGGAAACCGGAGCUAAUACCGGAUAACAUGUUGAACCGCAUGGUUCAACAGUGAAAGACGGUCUUGCUGUCACUUAUAGAUGGAUCCGCGCCGCAUUAGCUAGUUGGUAAGGUAACGGCUUACCAAGGCAACGAUGCGUAGCCGACCUGAGAGGGUGAUCGGCCACACUGGAACUGAGACACGGUCCAGACUCCUACGGGAGGCAGCAGUAGGGAAUCUUCCGCAAUGGGCGAAAGCCUGACGGAGCAACGCCGCGUGAGUGAAGAAGGUCUUCGGAUCGUAAAACUCUGUUAUUAGGGAAGAACAAAUGUGUAAGUAACUAUGCACGUCUUGACGGUACCUAAUCAGAAAGCCACGGCUAACUACGUG
rnacentral:rRNA from 1 species